rnacentral:rRNA from 1 species
UACGUAGGGUGCGAGCGUUAAUCGGAAUACUGGGCGUAAAGCGUGCGCAGGCGGUUUGUUAAGACAGAUGUGAAAUCCCCGGGCUUAACCUGGGAACUGCAUUUGUGACUGGCAAGCUAGAGUAUGGCAGAGGGGGGUAGAAUUCCACGUGUAGCAGUGAAAUGCGUAGAGAUGUGGAGGAAUACCGAUGGCGAAGGCAGCCCCCUGGGCCAAUACU